CACGUAGGGUGCGAGCGUUGUCCGGAAUUAUUGGGCGUAAAGAGCUCGUAGGCGGUGUGUCGCGUCGGCCGUGAAAACCUGCAGCUUAACUGUGGGCGUGCGGUCGAUACGGGCAUCACUGGAGUUCGGCAGGGGAGACUGGAAUUCCUGGUGUAGCGGUGAAAUGCGCAGAUAUCUGGAGGAACACCGGUGGCGAAGGCGGCAUCCUGGACCGACACUGACGCUGAGGAGCGAAAGCGUGGGGAGCGAACAGG
rnacentral:rRNA from 1 species